ACACUACUAGAACAGAGCUACACCAAACUACUCACGACUACACAUUACAAACAAUCCAAGAAAAGAAGUUCAAACAUAACUACAGUACACUACAUCAACUUGGCAGCUACAAAACCAACAAUAAUACCCCAAGAGAUCAGAAGCAAGCUUGUCAAUUGAAGCCCUUUCAAUUCCCACUUCAGUUUAUUAUCAUCCAAGUUCUUCAAAUUAGAACAUUCAAUAUGAUGUUCCAACUCCAAGUUUGAAACUUUAUCCUCCAAAUUUGAAUUUUCAAAAAAAAAUCAUAUCAUUCAAAUUAGAAUCAAUGUUUGGUUUAUGAAUUUCAAUGCCACCCAUUUCCUUUAGGAUCUUCUUCAAUCGGUUUCUUUCCUUCCGAAUUGAAUCUAAUUCAAUCUUUUGAUUGUGAGUCAUCAAUGACACAUGACUUGGAAGUUUACUAUCGAUCCAAUCCAAUAACCACAAGAUAAUGAGCCAGGACGACAACAUUUGAAGAAUCGACGUCCACCAUUCUCACGGCUCAUAGCAGUAAAAUAUUUUGAUAUCAAUCCACACUUACAUGUACGAGACUCAACUUGUUGAGGAGAAGAAACAGAAGAAGAUGUCAACAUUGAAACAACACAAAAUUUAACAAAUCUGAUGAAGAAGAUGAUUUCCAAAAGAGCUCCAAGAACUAACUGAUGAAGUUGGGGGGAAA
rnacentral:lncRNA from 1 species